AACCUAUAUAGCUGGGCUGUGCGCGUGGAAUAGGUAUAAAACGCCAUUAUGUACAAGGGUGAUUAUAAAACAGUAUCUCACGUUUGUAGUGAAACAUAUUUGCAACACCGUUUACGAUAAUAAUAUAUACAAGAUGUUUUUUGAAUAUAUAGGGCAAAUCUAUUGGAUUUUAUUGGAAGGUGAAGUUACCAGGUUCAAUAUUGAGUUUUUUUAAGAGUUGUUUAAGAAUAAAUUGUAAUAAGCCACCGCUAAAGCAACUAUAGUGUUUAACACAAUCUUACAUGGAAUAUGGAAUAUGGAAAAAGCAGUAGUUUUAAUUUAUGCGUUUUUAAAAAUCAAGAUGACGUAGUUGUCCUAAUAUUUAGUGGAAACCAAUUUUCCAAUGAAACCGGAAAUAGUUGAAAUACUUUAUAUGCAUAAUUUUUAUCCAGAAAUGGACUUAUCCAAACAGUGCAUGAUGAUGCUUUCAUACAGGUCCCAAAAUGAGGUACCUGUGGUAAGGCUGAUCUCCAUAGCUCUCUGCCUGUGUCCAAGGACCUUAAACUGGGGCAGCGACACUUCGUUGGAAACCCCCACCGAGUUAGGACCUUCGUUCCACUUAUACCGGAUGUCUCUCAUGGUGUAACCGACUGCAAUCACAAGCCAGGGUGCCAAACUCAAAAUCAAGCACAACCAACAAAGGAUUUCAUAAAAUUAUUCCAUUAUUUUUGAAUUUGGUCACUAUAGAUUUGAUUAUGUACAAUUUUAUAUUAGAAAUAAAUAAAAAAAUUGAACAAA